rnacentral:rRNA from 1 species
GACGAACCGUCCAAACGUUAUUCGGAAUUAUUGGGCUUAAAGGGUGCGUAGGCUGUGCAGUAAGUUGGGUGUGAAAUCCCUCGGCUCAACCGAGGAACUGCGCCGAAUACUGCUGUGCUAGAGGAAGAUAGGGGUAAGCGGAACUGAUGGUGGAGCGGUGAAAUGCGUAGAUAUCGUUUGGAACGCCAAUGGUGAAAACAGGUUGCUGGGAGGGUGCUGACGCUGAGACACGAAAGCCAGGGGAGCGAACGGG